UACUUGUUUUUAUUAUUGUUGAUGAGCUUCAUCUUCAUUGAGUUUGCUUGUAAUUCAACAAGCAUGAAUGCAACUUAUCAUCGAGGCGGAUCUCUUUAUGUUUUUUGAUAUUUGAGAUCUUGAACUUGAAAGCUUGAUUUGCUUAAUGGUUCUUUCUUCUGUAGUAUAGUACUGCUCUUGCCUCUGUCAUGCAAAUACGGAGUAAAUUUUCUAGAGCCUUACUUGUGGUUUACAAUUUUAUUAAGUCACUUUUUCUUAACACGUACACAUACACACACACAACACACACUACACACACACACACACACAUACACACACACAAACUAAAACUCACACUCACACACACACUCACACAUUCACACUCACACUCGCUCUCACACUCACAAUGUACAUAUAAACGACAUGUAUAUACUGAUAUAUUCAGUGUGCAUAUAAAGGAUAUGUGCAUAUAAAGGAUAUGUAUAGAUUGAUAUGUUUAUACAUGUAUAUAUAAACUUGCUAUUAGUUAUAUGUACACUGAUAUGCGACGCAUAUGCACCUUUACGCAUUGAUAGUGCAUACAUACAUUUCUAUAUACACUGAUAUAUAUGUCCAUAUAGAAAUUUAUUAUUUGUUUAUACAGUAAUGAGUGUAUAUGUACACUGAAAUAUAUAUACGCACACUCAUCUGCAUAUUUAUAAAGGGUUUAUAUAUACACUAAUGUAUAUGAUCAUGUAUGUACUUAUUAUCUGUGAUGUAUACAGUUAUUAGCUCAAUUUGUGUAUAUAUAUGUAUAGCAAUAUAUAUCAUUGUUUUCAGUGCAUAUAUAUUGAUGUGUAUAAAGCAUACAAUACAUUAGUUAUCUGUAAUAUAUAGUUAUUAGUGUGUAAAAAAUACAUUGAUAUGUGUGUGUGUGAUAUCUGUAUAUAUACGAUGUGUAUAUAUUUGAUAUGUGUGUAUGUGUAAAGUGCAUAAAGUUUUAUAUACAGUACAUUAAUGUAUAAAUUUUUUUAUACAUUGAUAUAUAUGAUCAUAUAUACACUUAUUAUCAGUUUAUGCAGCUAUUAACGCAUAUAUACACUGAUUUAUAUACUACACACGCAUUCACACUCACACUCACACUCACAUAUAUAUAUACUACACAUGUGUGCGUGUUGUGUGUGGAUACAAUUGCUUGCUAUCUGUUAUAUACAUUGAUAUGCGCACUCACAUGCACCCUUACGCGUUGAUAAGUGGAUAUAUACUGUGUAUGUAAACAGUGUGUAUAUAUACGAUUUGUAUAUACUGAUAUGUUUCUGCAUGUAUGUAUAAACUUGCUAUCAAUUAUAUAUAUACUGAUAUGUGUACGCACAUGCACCCUUAAGCAUUGAUAUUGCAUAUAUACAUUUACAUUUUUAAAUACACUGAUAUAUGUGGCUAUAUUGAUACUUUUUACUAGUUGAUACAGUUUUUAAUGUAGAUGUAUGUUGAUAUGUUUAUGAAUGCACAAAUGGAUGUUGAAGCCAAUAAGGUAAAUAAACUGAUCCCCCUCCCUCCCCCCUUCGCCCUUUUUUAUUAUUUUCCUCUCAAUUCUUACCCUUCGAAUCAUUAUCGUCCCUGUGUAUGAUUUUUCCUUCCCUAUGUAAUUUUCUAAACUAUGAUAAAAUCAGGCAUUAAAGAUGGUGAUUAAUUCUUCUGGCUAUCACCUCUAAUCAGAUAAACCUAGGCAAAAUUCCAUAUUAAUUUGUAUAGAAUUAAGCGCAAGAAUGGGUUUCUUCUCUUGAUGAAUUGGGUAGGCUAAAAUACCCAAUUGUAGUAGUCCAUUUAUUUAUUUUUUCUUAUUUGUACUUGUUUUUAUUAUCAUUGAUGUGCUUCAUCUCUAUCGAAUUUACGUGUAAAUCGGCAAAUAUGAAAGUAACUUAUCAUCAAGGCGGAUCUCUUUACGUUAUUCGAUAUUUGAGAUCUUGAUCUUGCAAGCUUGAUUUGCUUAAUGGUUCUUUCUUCUCUGGUAUAAUACUUACUGCUCUUGCUUCUUUCAUGCAAAUAUGGAGUGAAUUUUCAGGAGCUUUACUUGUGGUUUGUAAUUUUAUCAAGUAACUUUUUCUUGACACACACACACUCUUGCUUCUUUCAUGCAAAUAUAGAGUGAAUUUUUUGGAGCUUUACUUGUGGUUUGUAAUUUUAUUGGCUUUUUUUUAACAUACGCACACCCACAACACACACACACACUCACAUUCACACUCACACUCACACUCACACACAUACACACACUCACUUAUACACUCACACUCACACUCACACACUGACACUCACAUUCACACUCACAUACAUACACUCACUCACACUCACACUCACACUUACACUCACACACUGACACUCACAUUCACAUUCAUUGAUAUAUACUACACAUGUUUGCGUGUUGUAUAUGGACUGAUGUCUAUAUAUAUACGAUAUGUAUAUAUUGAUAUAUUUAUGGGUGUAUAUAUACAGUUUCUUGCUAUCAAUUAUAUACAAUAAUCAUUGUAUACCCCUAUGCGUUGAUAAGUGUAUAUAUACUGUCUAUGAUGCAUUCUAUAUAC
rnacentral:lncRNA from 1 species